AGGUACAUCGACAAUUCACCUUGAGUGUGUUAUAGUUUGACUACACCAUAACUCAAUCUCCUAGCCAUUCAGAAUCUUGAGGUGUAUGUUGGCUGUAGCAUAUUCAUUGUAGGAACCAGAUCACACCAAGAAGGGAUCUAUCAACCUCGAUAGAUAAGAGUAGUCCUAUGAUGAUUGAAAGAUCGAGUCCUUAAGCCCAUGG
rnacentral:lncRNA from 1 species